GAGAGAGAGAGAGAGAGAGAGGGGAUGAGGGAGUAACAAAAGUGGAAACAAUUUUAUUUAGUUUCUAGUUUUUAUUUACACUUUUGUUACUCCUCCCUCCCAUCCUCCCAUCUCAUCUCUUCCC
rnacentral:miRNA from 1 species